rnacentral:rRNA from 1 species
UACAGAGGGUGCAAGCGUUAAUCGGAAUUACUGGGCGUAAAGCGAGUGUAGGCGGUUUGGUAAGUCGGGUGUGAAAGCCCUGGGCUCAACCCAGGAAGUGCACUCGAUACUGUCAGGCUAGAGUAUCGGAGAGGUUGGUGGAAUUCUCGGUGUAGAGGUGAAAUUCGUAGAUAUCGAGAGGAACACCGGUGGCGAAGGCGGCCAACUGGACGAAUACUGACGCUGAGACUCGAAAGCGUGGGGAGCAAACAGG